rnacentral:rRNA from 1 species
AACGAACGCUGGCGGCAUGCCUAACACAUGCAAGUCGAACGAGACCUUCGGGUCUAGUGGCGCACGGGUGCGUAACGCGUGGGAACCUGCCCUUAGGUUCGGAGUAACUCCCCGAAAGGGGUGCUAAUACCGGAUAAUGUCUUCGGACCAAAGAUUUAUCGCCUUUGGAUGGGCCCGCGUUGGAUUAGCUAGUUGGUAGGGUAAAAGCCUACCAAGGCGACGAUCCAUAGCUGGUCUGAGAGGAUGAUCAGCCACACUGGGUCUGAGACACGGCCCAGACUCCUACGGGAAGCAGCAGUGGGGAAUAUUGGACAAUGGGCGAAAGCCUGAUCCAGCAAUGCCGCGUGAGUGAUGAAGGCCUUAGGGUUGUAAAGCUCUUUUACCCGGGAUGAUAAUGACAGUACCGGGAGAAUAAGCUCCGGCUAACUCCGUG